rnacentral:rRNA from 1 species
GACGAACGCUAGCGGCGUGCUUAACACAUGCAAGUCGAGCGGAGCGGCGAACGGGUGAGUAACGCGGGAGUAACUGCCCCCCUCUCAGGGAUAACAGUUGGAAACGGCUGCUAAUACCGGAUAGUGGGGGAUGACUCGCGUCCUAUCUGCUUGUUGGUGGGGUAGUGGACUGCAAAGGCGACGACGGGUAGCCGGCCUGGGAGGGCGACCGGCCACAUUGGUCUGAGAUACGGCCCAAUCUCCUACUGGAGGCAGCAGUGGGGAAUAUUGCCCAAUGGGGGAAACCCUGAUGCAGCAACGCGCGGGCGGGAUGACGUCCUUCGGGUUGUAAACCGCUUUCAGCCAUGACGCGGUAGUGGCAGAAGAAGCACCGGCUAACUACGUGCCAGCAGCCGCGGUAAUUC